rnacentral:rRNA from 1 species
AACGAACGCUGGCGGCAUGCCUAACACAUGCAAGUCGAACGAGACCUUCCGGUCUAUGUGCGCACGGGUGCUUAACGCGUGGUAACCUGCCCUUAGGUUCGGAAUAACUCCCCUUAAGGGGUCCUAAUACCGGUUAAUGUCUUCGGACCAAAGAUUUAUCGCCUUUGGAUGGGCCCGCGUUGGAUUAGCUAGUUGGUAGUGUAAAAGCCUACCAAUGACACGAUCCAGGGCUGGUCUGAGACGAUGAUCAGCCCCGCUGGGCAUGAGACACGGCCCAGACUCCUACGGGGGGGAGCAGUGGGGAGUAUUGGGGGAGGAGCGAUAGUGUGGUACAGCAAUGCCGGGUGAGUGAUGAAGGCCUUAGGGUUGUAAAGCUGUUUUACACGGGAUGAUAAUGACGGUAACGGGUAAAUAAGCUCCGGCUAACUACGUG